rnacentral:snoRNA from 1 species
AAUCCGUGGUGUGGGCAUUUUUAAUCAACAUUUUGAAACGUUCCCACGCCUCAUAGGAACUUUCUCCCUUAAUCUGUCUAAAGGCAACAAUCUCUCUUCUUAGUUG